rnacentral:rRNA from 1 species
CAGUAGCCGCGGUAAUACGAAGGGGGCUAGCGUUGCUCGGAAUUACUGGGCGUAAAGGGCGCGUAGGCGGACAGUUCAGUCGGGGGUGAAAGCCCGGGGCUCAACCUCGGAAUUGCCUUCGAUACUGGCUGUCUUGAGUAUGAGAGAGGUGUGUGGAACUCCGAGUGUAGAGGUGAAAUUCGUAGAUAUUCGGAAGAACACCAGUGGCGAAGGCGACACACUGGCUCAUUACUGACGCUGAGGCGCGAAAGCGUGGGGAGCAAACCGGAUUAGAUACCCCGGUAGUCCCUGUCUCUUAUAC